rnacentral:tRNA from 1 species
UAAAUUGUUAAAAUAUUUAAAUUUCUAAUUUAAAAUAAAAGCAUCAGUGUUUCAAUUUUU